rnacentral:rRNA from 1 species
UACGUAGGGGGCAAGCGUUGUCCGGAAUCACUGGGCGUAAAGCGCACGUAGGCGGAUUGCUAAGUCAGGGGUGAAAUCCUGGAGCUCAACUCCAGAACUGCCCUUGAUACUGGCGGUCUCGAGUCCGGGAGAGGUGAGUGGAACUGCGAGUGUAGAGGUGAAAUUCGUAGAUAUUCGCAAGAACACCAGUGGCGAAGGCGGCUCACUGGCCCGGUACUGACGCUGAGGCGCGAAAGCCAGGGGAGCAAACGGG